UGCGUCUCUAUCCUAUGAAGACAACUCUAUGAGAACAACACUUAUGGCGGAGAAAUCGAAAAGUAAACGUGAGAUGUCUGUCAGCGCCUCAAUAAUGCCGUGACUGACAUUUUCAUCUGAAACGGGAGGUCAAACGGUUUCCUAAACUUCUCCCAUACAACGGGCCUGACGAGCGUGACAAACUGAGUGAGGAGUUUCUGGACUACCAGUCCAUGGAUAUUGCCAUGCCCGAAGACCCAGCCACGUUCGACAUUGAGAGCUUUUGGGGGAACAUGACAUGAAUGAAGAAUAAGGUGACCAGUAUGAGCAGAUUUGGGAGGCUCUCCCGUAUUGCCAAGUUGGUGUUGGUACUUCCACAUUCAAAUGCUGAUGCUGAACGAGUGUUCUCUGUGGUGGGACUGAACAAAACCAAAACCCGAAACAGUUUGGCUCUUGAUGGAACUCUAUCAUCCAUCAUGACUGUGAAGAUGGCAAACCUUGAGCCACAGUGUUUCAAAUGGGAGCCCCCUCCCUCUGUCAUCAAGGCAUCAAAAUCUGCCACAAACACCUACAACAUGAGACAUGUCAUGUAAACCAAAAAUUACAAACAAAGACAUGCACUUUUUUUUAUAAUAUAUAGUAUAUAUAUAUUAUUCUGGUUCUAAUUGUGUUACAAAAAAAAUGCACUAAAGGAAAAGGCUGCUAUUGUUUCUUAAAAGGCUGCUAUGUUUUCUUUAUAUUGACAUUUUAUAAAUAAAUGUAUUUUAUUUGUCAAACUU